GGGUUGUGAGGUUAAGCGACUAAGCGUACACGGUGGAUGCCCUGGCAGUCAGAGGCGAUGAAGGACGUGCUAAUCUGCGAUAAGCGUCGGUAAGGUGAUAUGAACCGUUAUAACCGGCGAUUUCCGAAUGGGGAAACCCAGUGUGAUUCGUCACACUAUCAUUAACUGAAUCCAUAGGUUAAUGAGGCGAACCGGGGGAACUGAAACAUCUAAGUACCCCGAGGAAAAGAAAUCAACCGAGAUUCCCCCAGUAGCGGCGAGCGAACGGGGAGGAGCCCAGAGCCUGAAUCAGUGUGUGUGUUAGUGGAAGCGUCUGGAAAGGCGCGCGAUACAGGGUGACAGCCCCGUACACAAAAAUGCACAUAUUGUGAGCUCGAUGAGUAGGGCGGGACACGUGGUAUCCUGUCUGAAUAUGGGGGGACCAUCCUCCAAGGCUAAAUACUCCUGACUGACCGAUAGUGAACCAGUACCGUGAGGGAAAGGCGAAAAGAACCCCGGCGAGGGGAGUGAAAAAGAACCUGAAACCGUGUACGUACAAGCAGUGGGAGCACGCUUCGGCGUGUGACUGCGUACCUUUUGUAUAAUGGGUCAGCGACUUAUAUUCUGUAGCAAGGUUAACCGAAUAGGGGAGCCGAAGGGAAACCGAGUCUUAACUGGGCGUUAAGUUGCAGGGUAUAGACCCGAAACCCGGUGAUCUAGCCAUGGGCAGGUUGAAGGUUGGGUAACACUAACUGGAGGACCGAACCGACUAAUGUUGAAAAAUUAGCGGAUGACUUGUGGCUGGGGGUGAAAGGCCAAUCAAACCGGGAGAUAGCUGGUUCUCCCCGAAAGCUAUUUAGGUAGCGCCUCGUGAAUUCAUCUCCGGGGGUAGAGCACUGUUUCGGCAAGGGGGUCAUCCCGACUUACCAACCCGAUGCAAACUGCGAAUACCGGAGAAUGUUAUCACGGGAGACACACGGCGGGUGCUAACGUCCGUCGUGAAGAGGGAAACAACCCAGACCGCCAGCUAAGGUCCCAAAGUCAUGGUUAAGUGGGAAACGAUGUGGGAAGGCCCAGACAGCCAGGAUGUUGGCUUAGAAGCAGCCAUCAUUUAAAGAAAGCGUAAUAGCUCACUGGUCGAGUCGGCCUGCGCGGAAGAUGUAACGGGGCUAAACCAUGCACCGAAGCUGCGGCAGCGACGCUGAUGCGUUGUUGGGUAGGGGAGCGUUCUGUAAGCCUGCGAAGGUGUGCUGUGAGGCAUGCUGGAGGUAUCAGAAGUGCGAAUGCUGACAUAAGUAACGAUAAAGCGGGUGAAAAGCCCGCUCGCCGGAAGACCAAGGGUUCCUGUCCAACGUUAAUCGGGGCAGGGUGAGUCGACCCCUAAGGCGAGGCCGAAAGGCGUAGUCGAUGGGAAACAGGUUAAUAUUCCUGUACUUGGUGUUACUGCGAAGGGGGGACGGAGAAGGCUAUGUUGGCCGGGCGACGGUUGUCCCGGUUUAAGCGUGUAGGCUGGUUUUCCAGGCAAAUCCGGAAAAUCAAGGCUGAGGCGUGAUGACGAGGCACUACGGUGCUGAAGCAACAAAUGCCCUGCUUCCAGGAAAAGCCUCUAAGCAUCAGGUAACAUCAAAUCGUACCCCAAACCGACACAGGUGGUCAGGUAGAGAAUACCAAGGCGCUUGAGAGAACUCGGGUGAAGGAACUAGGCAAAAUGGUGCCGUAACUUCGGGAGAAGGCACGCUGAUAUGUAGGUGAGGUCCCUCGCGGAUGGAGCUGAAAUCAGUCGAAGAUACCAGCUGGCUGCAACUGUUUAUUAAAAACACAGCACUGUGCAAACACGAAAGUGGACGUAUACGGUGUGACGCCUGCCCGGUGCCGGAAGGUUAAUUGAUGGGGUCAGCGCAAGCGAAGCUCUUGAUCGAAGCCCCGGUAAACGGCGGCCGUAACUAUAACGGUCCUAAGGUAGCGAAAUUCCUUGUCGGGUAAGUUCCGACCUGCACGAAUGGCGUAAUGAUGGCCAGGCUGUCUCCACCCGAGACUCAGUGAAAUUGAACUCGCUGUGAAGAUGCAGUGUACCCGCGGCAAGACGGAAAGACCCCGUGAACCUUUACUAUAGCUUGACACUGAACAUUGAGCCUUGAUGUGUAGGAUAGGUGGGAGGCUUAGAAGUGUGGACGCCAGUCUGCAUGGAGCCGACCUUGAAAUACCACCCUUUAAUGUUUGAUGUUCUAACGUUGACCCGUAAUCCGGGUUGCGGACAGUGUCUGGUGGGUAGUUUGACUGGGGCGGUCUCCUCCUAAAGAGUAACGGAGGAGCACGAAGGUUGGCUAAUCCUGGUCGGACAUCAGGAGGUUAGUGCAAUGGCAUAAGCCAGCUUGACUGCGAGCGUGACGGCGCGAGCAGGUGCGAAAGCAGGUCAUAGUGAUCCGGUGGUUCUGAAUGGAAGGGCCAUCGCUCAACGGAUAAAAGGUACUCCGGGGAUAACAGGCUGAUACCGCCCAAGAGUUCAUAUCGACGGCGGUGUUUGGCACCUCGAUGUCGGCUCAUCACAUCCUGGGGCUGAAGUAGGUCCCAAGGGUAUGGCUGUUCGCCAUUUAAAGUGGUACGCGAGCUGGGUUUAGAACGUCGUGAGACAGUUCGGUCCCUAUCUGCCGUGGGCGCUGGAGAACUGAGGGGGGCUGCUCCUAGUACGAGAGGACCGGAGUGGACGCAUCACUGGUGUUCGGGUUGUCAUGCCAAUGGCACUGCCCGGUAGCUAAAUGCGGAAGAGAUAAGUGCUGAAAGCAUCUAAGCACGAAACUUGCCCCGAGAUGAGUUCUCCCUGACUCCUUGAGAGUCCUGAAGGAACGUUGAAGACGACGACGUUGAUAGGCCGGGUGUGUAAGCGCAGCGAUGCGUUGAGCUAACCGGUACUAAUGAACCGUGAGGCUUAACCUUACAACGCCGAAGGUGUUU
rnacentral:rRNA from 1 species